GAGCUCUCAGAUCAAAGAGAGAGAGACAGAGACAGUGUGUCAGAGUGCUCUCAGAUCAAAGAGCUCUCUGACACACUGCCUCUCUCUCUCUGAUCUGAGAGCUCUCUGACACACUGUCCCUGUCUCUCUCUCUGAUCUGAGAGCUCUCUGACACACUGUCUCUGUCUCUCUCUCUGAUCUGAGAGCUCUCU